rnacentral:rRNA from 1 species
UUGGUGUGGUUGUUGCUGGCCCUCUCGGGGGCAUGUGCACACCCACCAUCCUCAUCUCUCCACCUGUGCACCUCUUGUAGACCUGGAUUGACUUUCCGAGGCAACUCGGUCGGGAAGAUUGCUGCGCUCUGUGAGCCAGCUUUCUUUGCAUGUCCAGGCCUAUGUUUUUCAUAUACCCCUAUAGAAUGUAACAGAAUGUAUCAUUGGGCCUUGUGCCUAUAAACCUUAUACAACUUUCAGCAACGGAUCUCUUGGCUCUCGCAUCGAUGAAGAACGCAGCGAAAUGCGAUAAGUAAUGUGAAUUGCAGAAUUCAGUGAAUCAUCGAAUCUUUGAACGCACCUUGCGCUCCUUGGUAUUCCGAGGAGCAUGCCUGUUUGAGUGUCAUUAAAUUCUCAACCUUAUUAACUUUUGUUGAUAAUGGAUUGGAUUGUGGGGGUUUCUUUUGCUGGCUUCUUCACAGAGAUCAGCUCCCCUUAAAUGCAUUAGCUGGUGCCCCGCGUGGACCAUCUAUUGGUGUGAUAAUUAUCUACGCCGUGGAUGUCUGCAAUCAUAUGGGUUUCGCACUGCUUCUAACCGUCUGUUCAUUCGGACAAUACAUGACAAUUUGACCUCAAAUCAGGUAGGACUACCCGCUGAACUUAAGCAUAUCAAUAAGCGGAGGAAAAGAAACUAACAAGGAUUCCCCUAGUAACUGCGAGUGAAGCGGGAAAAGCUCAAAUUUAAAAUCUGGCGGUCUCCGGCCGUCCGAGUUGUAAUCUAGAGAAGUGUUAUCCGCGCUGGAC